UGUGUAUAAAGUGGCGAACGGCUGAGUAACACGUGGGCAACCUGCCCUCCUCUUGGGGAUAGCCUCGGGAAACCGAGGAUAAUACCCGAUACUUCAAUGUGGCCGCAUGACGACAUUGAGAAAGCUUUUGCGGAGAAGGAUGGGCCCGCGGCCUGUUAGCUUGUUGGUGGGGUAGAGGCCUACCAAGGCAAUGAUGGGUAGCUGGGUUGAGAGACCGACCAGCCAGAUUGGGACUGAGACACGGCCCAGACUCCUACGGGAGGCAGCAGUGGGGAAUCUUGCACAAUGGGCGAAAGCCUGAUGCAGCGACGCCGCGUGCGGGAAGAAGGCCUUCGGGUUGUAAACCGCUUUCAGCAGGGACGAGGCGAUAAGUGACGGUACCUGCAGAAGAAGCCCCGGCUAACUACGUGCCAGCAGCCGCGGUAAUACGUAGGGGGCAAGCGUUAUCCGGAUUCAUUGGGCGUAAAGCGCUCGUAGCGCGGUCUGUUAGGUCGGGAGUUAAAUCGCGGAGGCUCAACCUCCGCCCGCUCCCGAUACCGGCAGACUUGAGUUUGGUAGGGGAAGGUGGAAUUCCUAGUGUAGCGGU
rnacentral:rRNA from 1 species